AAUAAGAGAGAACUUGGCUACUGUUGAUAGGAAUAGUAUAUUGUAGAAAAAAUAGUGCCCCAUGGUAUUUUGGUAAAUUUUUUUUCAUUCGUGGGUUUUUUUGCAAAAACAACAAACAAAUAUCUGUUCUUUCUUUAUCUUCUCUGCUCAUUUUCCUUUUUCACUUUUUACUUUCUAUAUGUUUACAGUUUCGCAAGAAAAAGAGAGUGAUUUCCUGUAGAAUCUUUGCCCGGUGAAAGUGAAAAAUCUGAUCUUAAUCCAACAAACGAUCACACUAGACAAAUCCAUUAUACCAACAAAACAAGGAGACACGUGCUCGUUUAUUGACAUUCACUUCUUCAAGAGUAGUGAGUAUUCUCUGACACUUGAAAAGCUAUUCCACCUCUCCAAAUUCAACGGUGCGCUUUGUUUUGUUCCAUUAUUUUUUUUGUUGUGAUCUUUUUAAAAGUCAUAUCGCAAUGUUUCUGUUGUAGUUAUUGGUUUGAAGUUUAGAGAAUGGGGUUCAUUAUUCUAGGACUAGGAGCAGAUUGGGUUAUUGCUUUUAGCCUCUAGGUUUUUUAAGGAUUUGUUACUUUUUGCUAUACGGGAUUAUUAUUGUCGAUUUCUGGUUUUCGACGGGUCCCCUCGGGGUCCACUCGUGUUUGCUCCCAUCAAAUUUCUGUGCUGGAACACUUCCAUCCAUUUAUUGCAGCUUUGGUGAGUCGCUGCCCUACUUUGAUUUCAUAAUAGUAUUUUUGAGUUUCAUUUUCUUUUCAUAUUUUAUAUCACCAGCUAAAUAACUGACUUCUCAUGUGUCAGGACAUUGACCGCAUUUUUCAGAUAUUUUAUUAUGGCAAAAAGAAGACGUGUGUUUUCA